UCUACUCCCUAAUCUCUGAAACUUUCUGUUAUCUCUCAACAGCAGCUGCAAUGCCAAGCAGCGGACUGAAAGUUAUUCAAGAAACGGACCCAGCAGCCCUCAGAGACAGCCAUGAUCACACACCGAGACAGGUGGUACCCAAUGUGGGGAACGAACUCAUGCAUGAGGCCAAGAAGCAGUGAGGCAGUGCUGUGAGAUACGAAACUGCAAGACAAACCUACAGCUACAAAUCAGCACAGAGGACCAGCUUCUCAGAGCCUGAAAAGGAACAAGAACAUCAAACUCUUUAUUUUAGUCUCGUGCCAAGAGUGCUGUGUGCUGCUCCAGCAGGCCCUUUCUUCAGAAGUCAUGAUGACUUUCCUACAUUAAGACGAAUACCCCUCCACCCUGUACUCCUCCUCCUUUGUCCAGUCUGUAACAUAAAACCAAAAAGAAGAAUUUUGGGGAGAACCUGGCCAAAAAUGUGUUUGAAGUGAAUGAAAAAAAUGAAGGGACUUUCUGGACAAUAGUUCCCAUGUUCCUGGAAUAAAUGGCAAGAGUUUAGAGGAGAAUCUGCAGGACAAUAGUCAGCAGAAUCAAAAGCAAUUUGUUCUUAGGGAUGUUUGCUUUGGCCAUUGUGUCCCCCCUGCCCUGAUAAAAUUAUUUAAACUACGUGGACAUUUGUCGUGUAACAAAGCAUCCCACUCUGUCCCUGUCCCCUACCAAAACUCUGAUACAACAUGUUGCAAAUGCUUCUUCUUAUGUUCUUGAGUUACAAAUAAAU